AACGAACGCUGGCGGCAGGCCUAACACAUGCAAGUCGAGGGGCAGCACAUGAGUAGCAAUACGAUGGUGGCGACCGGCGCACGGGUGAGUAACACGUAUGCAACCUGCCUUCUACUAUGGGAUAACCCGUUGAAAGACGGACUAAUACCGUAUAAUACAGGGGCUCCGCAUGGAGAUAUUUGCUAAAGAUUUAUUGGUAGAAGAUGGGCAUGCGUAUGAUUAGAGAGUUGGUGAGGUAACGGCUCACCAAGUCAACGAUCAUUAGGGGUUCUGAGAGGAAGGUCCCCCACACUGGUACUGAGACACGGACCAGACUCCGACGGGAGGCAGCAGUGAGGAAUAUUGGUCAAUGGACGAGAGUCUGAACCAGCCAAGUCGCGUGAAGGAAGACGGUUCUAUGAAUUGUAAACUUCUUUUGUGCAGGAAUAAAGUGGGUUACGUGUAACCUUUUGUAUGUACUGUACGAAUAAGGAUCGGCUAACUCCGUGCCAGCCGCCGCGGUAACAC
rnacentral:rRNA from 1 species